AUUGACUUUAAUCAAUUUUAUGGGUUACACGUAACUUUGAAAAAUUUCCACUUAAAUUAUUUCCUGAGAUUAAUUGUGAUUUGAAUAACAUUCUUGGCGUCAGUCAAUAAUAGUCCGAUAAUGCAAGACCUAAGCUAUGCAAUAAGAACUAUGUCAUAUAACAAUGGAACAAAAAUGUGCGGUUGUACCCUCGUCCCGCGGGACGCUCGACACGCCGGGCUCGACGCGGGGUUCGCGAGAUAAGGUGCUGACAACGAAAUGCGACGAUAAUAAAUAAUAAAUAAUGCCAUUGAAACUUUACGAAAAGUUUAAAUUGCAAUUUCACGCCGGCUUUUACUUCGCACUGACUAGAAAAAUAUGUGUACAUUUAAAACUCAAGAAAUUUAAAAUAAUUGUGUUUGCUCGCAAACGAAAAAAAAACCGACUUCAAUUACAUCGACAAGUAAUACAACGUAGAUCGACGAAAAAAUAGUCAAGCAACUACGCGUUAUUAAAGAUUACUCAAAAAGUAGUUAUUAGAUCUCAAUAAAAUUUAUAUGUGACCACAUGAUAAACAUCAGCUUUCGAUUAAAUUAAAAAUUAUCAAAAUCGGUACACCCAGU
rnacentral:misc_RNA from 1 species